UACGAGGGGGGCGAGCGUUGUUCGGAAUUAUUGGGCGUAAAGCGUGCGCAGGCGGUGAUGUAAGACAGAUGUGAAAUCCCCGGGCUCAACCUGGGAACUGCAUUUGUGACUGCAUCGCUGGAGUGCGGCAGAGGGGGAUGGAAUUCCGCGUGUAGCAGUGAAAUGCGUAGAUAUGCGGAGGAACACCGAUGGCGAAGGCAAUCCCCUGGGCCUGCACUGACGCUCAUGCACGAAAGCGUGGGGAGCAAACAGG
rnacentral:rRNA from 1 species